rnacentral:lncRNA from 1 species
CGAGUGAGAAAAAAAAAGUCGGGCCUAAAGCUUCAACAAAUACAGCCCAGUUUACAAUUAGAAAAGCAGCUACAAUUAUAGUAAAAUAUACAAACAGCAAGUCUUAGCUCUGGUGCGCUCCAACUCACGACUGAGAUGCAACGUACGUCUGAUACGGGGAGCUGCGAGUGCCAGCCCCGUUACCACUCGUGGAACUAUUCCCUCCCUGCGCUCUGAAAGAAAGAGGUGGGAAGUCCUCUUCUUUCAUUUGGUAAGCCCUCUGGUUUUGCCUGAAGUAGCAAAACGAGUUUCAGUGGCCAGAAUAAUCGAUAAAACGUUUUGGUACCUUUGCUGGUCAUUCGGGGAGGACGGCUGUUGUCUAUCUUGACCCGCAGCCUGCUGCCCCUUAGAGCUCACACGAACGGCUCCAAGCUCAGAGCCCUGCACCGCCCCAAGCGUCCCAAACUCAAGCGGUUCGUUGGACGGGUAUACAACAAUCGACGUGUUCCCAUUGCCGUUCAUAUACACCUGAGAAUAAGCUUGCAGGGUUGCAGGGGGUUCCAAAAGUACGGUUGCAGGGGGUACGCGGCUCUACGUCCGAUUCCGCCGGCGCGCGGGCCUCGAGGCCACCUACACGGAGAUUUGCGAUGGAUUGUUCGUGGGGCGUGGCCAUUCCAGCGCGAUCACAUCCCUCCGGGCAGUCCCGCGGUCGUGGAUUGCACCAACGAGCUACCCAGGACGGUGGGAUUGGAGCUUCCCUAUGUGUGCAUCCCGGCCUGGGAUACCAGAUCGCCAUCGCCGGAGGGCAUCGAGCUAGCCGUGCGCUGGGCUCUCGUCAAGCGCUCCCAGAACCAUCCCAUUCUCAUCCACUGUGCCAAAGGUAGGCUUCCCCAUCACUCUUUUUUCUUUCUUUCUUCUUUUGCCAUAGCUAGGCCUAGUUGAAAAACAAUGUUUUGAUUGUCUUCUUUCAGCAUUCUUUCGAUUGGCAUUUUGUUCCUCUGCAUUGAUGAUCUUUCCCUCUUUCUUCCCCGGAUUUUUAUCGACGCGCAUUGAGCGUGCUUUAGUUUUCAUCUUGGCUGGCGGGGUGGGCCUUAGACGAUUUGGAUGCUUGUCGUUCGUGCACAGGUCAUGGGCGUAGUGUGGCUGUUACGUGCGCGCUGCUGGUGGCAUUGGGCGUGGUGGGCGACUGGAAGGAAGGCGAGAGCCUGAUCAAGAGACAUCGCCCACGGAUCCGUCUCAAUGCAGCGCAAAGGAAAUCUCUUCAAGAAUGGCGUAAGUCUCAAACAGAGAACCUCUUUACGUCUCUCUCGCUCUAUAGAUACCGGGGUUGAUUUUUAUUCUUGUGUUAUGUAUCAGAGCUUCGGCGGUAUUGAUAUGUUAGCAGAUGGUCUUCGUAUUUGUUGAUACUGAACCUUGAAACCGAGCUAAUGUGUUUUCUCCUCGUGAAAUAUACUUCUCUUAGUACUGAUUUUAGACAAGCUUUAUUAGAUAUUUGGGAUAUUUGUCACUUUGAUUCAUGAGGUAUUUUUCUAAGCUGGUUCAUGUGAAAUAUUUAUAUACUUUUCUUAGUAUUGAUUUUAGACAAGCUUUAUUAGACAUUUGUCUUGCUCACUUUGAUCUAGGAGGUAUUAUUCUAGAGCUGGUUCAACAGCCAUUACUUCUGGAUGCACCGUGCUCCCCAGCUUUGCAGGAAAUGGCCAAACGCAUGAAGCUCGAGAGCUCUUUGAUGCCAUUCCCGAAGAGAUGAAACCCCUGUUCUUGGGCAACCCUUUGGCUGAUAGAAAGGCUAGGCUCCAGAGGACUUAAUUUUCUUAAUUUAAUCGAAAGCUCCCAUGUGUUUCAAUGUGGUGCAAACUCUCCUCAGCCGCUAACUCUAGCUAAGGUGGCAAACUUCAGCAACAGCUAGUAGAAAAUUCACAGCUGUGAAGACUUCCCGUUUUUCUAUAUCGAACCUGUCUAUGUCUACUGUAACUUACGUCAUCUCGCAUAUAACUGAGGCAGACGUACCAUCUUACUACGAGCAUUUAAGCGGAGAUCAUAUCAUCCUCCCUAAAUAGCACUAUCUCUCCCAAUCUAAGCCCAAGUUACUCCUGUCCACAAUGGUUCACAUCCCAAAUCCAGAUUCCCCUGUUCUCAAGCUCCCCCGCUUCUUCUCUCUCAAAGCCGACAAUGGUAAGUACCUCAUGCUCAAGUCCGAUGGCACCCUUGCAUUCGAGUCCGACACCACCACCCGAUACACCACACACGAGGCGGUCUACAAUGCCAAUGAUUCCAACGCCUCCUUCGUCAUUUGCUCCGCCAACAAGCACUUCUGGCGCCGCCACUCCUCCACCUCUGCCGUGGUAGCCGACCUCAAGAACCCGCCCAGCGACACCGAUGCCUCAAACCGGUUCAAGCUCCAGCCCGAGGUCGCCCCAGGAAAGGUGGCACUCUCCUCCGUCCAAGACGGUCUCUUCCUCAAGCGCUUCAACACCCAGUACCGCGCGUUGCUCGAGGAGCCCAAUGAGAUCUUUGCCAUGGUAGAAGUGGUGGAGUCGUCCUACUACGUUGUCAACAUGCCCGAGUACGUGGGUUUCAAAGGUAGCAAUGCCAAAUACCUCACGUGCUUGGUCGAUUACCCUGUCAUACUGGAUCCGUUCGCGCUCACAGAAGAAUCUGCUGACGUUCGUCUUACCACCCACCAGGUACUGCUGUUUUCGUCUUUCAUCUGCUUGCUUCCAUUCGCAGCCCCCUUACCAGGUGGAGUAUCUCCUGAACGGCAAGAUAGCUCUUCGAUCCAACCAAGCCGCCUCCUGGACUUCAAACAAUUACUGGAGGGCGUCCCAGUGGAUUACACCGGACGGUGACACUCCCGACCACCCUGAAUGCCAGUUCGAUCCAGUCCGAGUGAACAGCACCACAGUUGCUCUCAAGAGUGCCAAUGGCCUCUACUGCAAGCGUGGAAGCCCGUCCUUCACCAACGCUCCGGACGCGAUCUUUGCUGAGGCAUCCGACUACGAGGAAACGUCAAGCCACCUCGUGGUCGAAGAAGCUGUGAUGAGCAGGCAAAUCUUUAACGUGACUUACCUGCUAGAUCUGGCGAGUGCAAGCGAGGAGGAGCCAAUCGGUGUCGCCUAUGGAUCUGCCACGAACAAGGGCAGUGAGCCUGCAGAGAUGGAGAUCAGCGUGAGCAAGACCACCACAGUGAGCAACACCAGGUCCUUCCACAACUCGUUCACCUUCUCCCAGAGCAUCACGCAGACUUUGACGCUCGGUGUGCCGUUCUUUGCCGACGAGAGCACCGAGAUCCAGAUCGGAGCCGAGCAAGAGUUUGGAAACCAGUGGGACGAGACUUUGUCCGAGGAAGUCGCUUAUCAGACGACUUACAAAGUGACGAUUCCUCCAGGGAAAACGGUACGUAUGAGAAUUUGCCUGUGCGCCUUUGCUCGAUUGAUUAACUGACAUCCUCUGCUAUCCAUCCAGGGAACUGUGCAGGUUGUGAUCAGCACUGCGAAACUGGCCGUCCCGUUCCACUACAAGACGAGGGACACGUCGCUCAAUGGUGUGGAGCGUGAGCCUGUGGAUCGCAUCGACGGUGUCUUUGAUGGUGUGCUGGCUUACAGGACUGAUGCGGAGAUAUAUGACGGUACCAAGACAUACCGCAUCCCUGUUCCCAUGAAACUCAACGUUACGAAAUAGAACACUCUACCUUGGUGAUAAUAAGAACUAAAAGAUCCGUACAAUCGCGAGUUAUAAAUAAAUCUGUACUAACACUGAAAAAUAUCCAUCCGCAUUCAUAUUUCGCGAACACCGUAUAGUAAAUCCAUACUUGAGAAAUGCCAGAUUCACCAACUUUUGUAUGAAUUCUAGGGACCCUCAACUUUGCAUCCACCUAUGAUUUUAUCCUUACACUUAUUUAUAAAAACAAAAUAUUUGGAGCAUUGCCUUGAACGGCGACCUAAAACUAAAACUUUCGAGACCACAAUCUCUCUCAAGGGACCAACGGCCUCUCCUGUACGUGGAAGCAACACUCCGGACUUGGUUUUGGCGGUCGAAGAAGCUGUGAGGAGCAGGCAAAUCUUCAACGUGACGUACCUGCUAGAUCUGGCGAGUGCGAGCGAAUCGGAGUCGCCUAUGGACCUGCCACGAACAAAGGAAGCGCGCCUCCUCGGAUACAGUGUCUGGUUUCCGAGCUCCUCCUCGGCUCCGAUUUCGAUCUCGGUGCUCUCAUCGGCAAAGAACAGCACACCGUUCGUCAAAGUCUGCGUGAUGCUCUGGGAGAAGGUGUACGAGUUGUGGAAGGAUGCUCACUGGUGUGGUCUUGCUGCAUCUCUGAAGUCACGCACCAGACGUCUUACACAGUCACGAUUCGCUCCAGGGAAAACGGGGAAAACGGUACGUAAAAGACUGAGCCUGUGCGCCUCUGGUCGACUGAUUAGCUCACAUCCGUCGGUAUCCAGGGAACUGUGUAGGUGGUGAUCAGCAUUGAUCCCGUUCCAUGGAUCGCAUCGACGGUGUCUUUGAUGGUGUGUUGGUUUUCAGGACAGAUAAAUCAUUCCCUGUUCCCAUGAAGCUAAAGGAUACGACAUAGACAAAAGGAAGCCUACCUCGGUGGUAAUAAGAAAUAGAAUAAAACGAUGCUGGAUCACAUCACAAGUUAUACAGAAAACACUCGUUACUCAUGGCUCCAUCUGUAGGAAGAUUGUAAGGUUGGGAAAAUGUCCGAUAGAAAAAUAAAGCUUACUGCCCAUAUUUAUCCUUCAUUUUCUCGGCGAUGCGAUCCGCAUUCUUGCUUGCUCUUCGGACGUCCUUCGCGGCCCUGAAAUAGCAACACCCCAUGAAUCAAUUGCCAAAGAAUACUCAAAUGAACCCAUACAAGUCGACACUCAAUCUUUGAAGAGCAAUAGAUCGCCGUUCAAAACUCUCCUGCGGUCCUUCCGAUUUUUUAAGCUGGCGAGCCAGGCUCCCGAAGAAGACCCCCAACACCUUCACAGGGCGACAAUUUAGUUAGCCGAAGUUUAGCUAUACCACAUAGUUUGCAAACCUCGGCAACGACCAGGAAGUAAAACGCCCAUGAAACACGUCCGAUAAACGACUCCACCUACAUUCAUAAUCACCUACAAUAAAAAGAUACGAUAAGCCCAAGCUCGUGAAUAACAUGUACCUCAUUCGCACUAAAGCGCUUAGAUCGAAAACUUCUCGCCACUUUCUCUCUCUGCGACAAGCGAGUGAAGCUGAGCCCAAAGUGACAAGGUGAAGCGUACGUUCGAAAACGAGGCCAACGAGUACACGAUGGAUCCAAGAGCAGCAAAACAAUUGAAAACGAUAUUUAUCCAGAAGCAAGGACCGACUGUCCUUCCUAUGCCUGAAGCACCAGCCACAAUCGUUACCCCUCCAAGAAUUAUAAGAAGCCUACGCAAGCAAAACAAGAAGUUAGAUUCCCAGAACAAAUAAUUACAUGACUGCAACUGACCACCCAGGCGAAAAGUUGGGACUCCCUCCUUGUAUGACCGGAACCAUUAUAACAAUCAAGCCUCCGAACACCUAGGUAGCUGAAGAAAUCAAUAAACGAGCCCCCAACAAAAGAAAACAAAUCCGUGUACCAGAAUGAAAAGAUGUAGCAGGUUCAGAGCCCAAUCUAUCGCCGUAAGCGUCUUCAUAUCUGAACAGAGAACUUAGUCUCGCAAAGAAAAUUUCGAAAGUGUACAGAACCUGAUCGGAUCCGAAAGGCUGUUUUCAUCUCCAAAAUUCUCCCCCGAACUUCCCCUGCCAUGUCAUUAGCUCAUACACGACACGCAGUAGUAUUAAAAACAUCCGACUCGUUGUCCGAGUGAGAAAAAAAAAGUCGGGCCUAAAGCUUCAACAAAUACAGCCCAGUUUACAAUUAGAAAAGCAGCUACAAUUAUAGUAAAAUAUACAAACAGCAAGUCUUAGCUCUGGUGCGCUCCAACUCACGACUGAGAUGCAACGUACGUCUGAUACGGGGAGCUGCGAGUGCCAGCCCCGUUACCACUCGUGGAACUAUUCCCUCCCUGCGCUCUGAAAGAAAGAGGUGGGAAGUCCUCUUCUUUCAUUUGGUAAGCCCUCUGGUUUUGCCUGAAGUAGCAAAACGAGUUUCAGUGGCCAGAAUAAUCGAUAAAACGUUUUGGUACCUUUGCUGGUCA